rnacentral:rRNA from 1 species
GACGAACCGAGCGAACGUUGUUCGGAAUCACUGGGCUUAAAGGGUGCGUAGGCGGGCUGCCAAGUUUGAGGUGAAAUCCUCCGGCUCAACCGGGGAAGUGCCUUGAAUACUGGCGGUCUGGAGGGAGGUAGGGGCGUGCGGAACUAACGGUGGAGCGGUGAAAUGCGUUGAUAUCGUUAGGAACUCCGGUGGCGAAGGCGGCACGCUAGACCUCUUCUGACGCUGAGGCACGAAAGCCAGGGGAGCAAACGGGG